rnacentral:rRNA from 1 species
GUUAGGAAUAUUGGACAAUGGGCGCAAGCCUGAUCCAGCCAUGCCGCGUGAACGAUGAAGGCCUUCGGGUUGUAAAGUUCUUUAGCCGAUGAUUAUAAUGACUGUAGUCGGAAAAUAAGCCCCGGCUAACUUCGUGCCAGCAGCCGCGGUAAUACGAAGGGGGCGAGCGUUAUUCGGAAUCACUGGGCGUAAAGCGUGCGUAGGCGGUCUCGUAAGUUAGGAGUGAAAGCACAGGGCUCAACCUUGGGAUUGCUCUUAAAACUGCAAGGCUAGAAUCUCGGAGAGGAUAGCGGAAUUUCCAGUGUAGCAGUGAAAUGCGUAGAUAUUGGAAGGAACACCAGUGGCGUAAGCGGCUAUCUGGACGAGUAUUGACGCUGAGGCACGAAAGCGUGGGGAUCAAACAGGAUUAGAAACCCCGGUAGUCC